UGUAUUUUGUUUACUAAGCUAAGUGGC
rnacentral:sRNA from 1 species